rnacentral:rRNA from 1 species
UACAGAGGUCUCAAGCGUUGCUCGGAAUCACUGGGCGUAAAGGGUGCGUAGGCGGCGCGGUAAGUCGGGUGUGAAAUCUCGGAGCUUAACUCCGAAACUGCAUUCGAUACUGCCGUGCUUGAGGACUGGAGAGGAGACUGGAAUUUACGGUGUAGCGGUGAAAUGCGUAGAUAUCGUAAGGAAGACCAGUGGCGAAGGCGGGUCUCUGGACAGUUCCUGACGCUGAGGCACGAAGGUCAGGGGAGCAAACGGG